UUAAUGAGAGUUUGAUCCUGGCUCAGGACGAACGCUGGCGGCGUGCCUAAUACAUGCAAGUAGAACGCUGAGGUUUGGUGUUUACACUAGACUGAUGAGUUGCGAACGGGUGAGUAACGCGUAGGUAACCUGCCUCAUAGCGGGGGAUAACUAUUGGAAACGAUAGCUAAUACCGCAUAAGAGUAAUUAACACAUGUUAGUUAUUUAAAAGGAGCAAUUGCUUCACUGUGAGAUGGACCUGCGUUGUAUUAGCUAGUUGGUGAGGUAAAGGCUCACCAAGGCGACGAUACAUAGCCGACCUG
rnacentral:rRNA from 1 species